GAUGAAGAACGUAGCGAAAUGCGAUACUUGGUGUGAAUUGCAGAAUCCCGUGAACCAUCGAGUCUUUGAACGCAAGUUGCGCCCGAAGCCACUAGGCCGAGGGCACGCCUGCCUGGGCGUCACACGUCGUUCCCCCCCCAUCUACUCCUUCGGGAUUGCGGGGGGCGGAUGAUGGCCUCCCGUGCGCCUCACCGCGCGGUUGGCAUAAAUGCCAAGUCCUCGGCGACGCACGCCACGACAAUCGGUGGUUGCGAAACCUCGGUUGCCCGUCGUGUGCGGUCGUCGCGCAUCGAGGGCUCGAAAAAAUUGCCGGGUUCCGGCUCGGCUUUCAACGCGACCCCAGGUCAGGCGGGGUUACCCGCUGAAUUUAAGCAUAUCAAUAAGCGGAGGA
rnacentral:misc_RNA from 1 species